rnacentral:rRNA from 5 species
AACUUUCAACAACGGAUCUCUUGGCUCUGGCAUCGAUGAAGAACGCAGCGAAAUGCGAUAAGUAAUGCGAAUUGCAGAUUUCAGUGAAUCAUCGAAUUUUUGAACGCACAUUGCGCCCGGCGGCCACUCCGCCGGGCCUGCCUGUUCGAGCGUCGUUU